rnacentral:lncRNA from 1 species
UAUAUAGGUAAGGGAGAUCACGGCGUACGAUAAUGCAAAGCGUCUGGCGAUCAUGACAUUGCCGGAAAGCGAAAGUAAAUAAUUGAAAGAAAUAAUGUCUCACAAUUCAAAGUAUUAUGUGAAGAAAUUAAAGAAAACGGACAAAAACAUUCAAAAAAUUGACACCCUGUUUAAACAGGCUGCUCUUUCUGAACAAAGACAAAGUACUGAAGCUACUAUUAGUAAGCAACAUUCCGAGUCAUCGGACACCAGCAAGACCGAGUGCCCCCUGCCUGGCGUAUCCUGUGAAAAACAACUGAAUAAAAAUGCCAGUGACGAUAGUGAUGAGCAAGAGUCUGAAACUGAUAAAACAGUGCCUGUCCCUGACCAGCGUCUGUUUAGCUCUAGCAAAUAUGAGAGCCGGUAUGACUGGCUAUAUUACAGUUGUGCCAAAGGUGGUUAUUGUUGCAAAAUGUGUGAGCUGUUUUCAUCUACAGAUAAGGACAAUGUCUUCAUUGUUGGAACUAAUCUAGGGGACCACCCUCAGUCGUAAUUCAGAGGGCCAUGUUAGUGCCAAAUGCCACAAAAAUUCUGUGUCAAAGUAUGUUUUGGUAAAUAGUAUUGCUGCAUCUGGUAAAGUGAAAAAAAACAGUUGCAGACAUGUUGACAGAAACUGUAGAAGUUAAACAAAAGAAAGAGAUUGAAAGAAAUAGGCGCUAUGUGCAGUGUUUUGUUAAGAUUUUUAUAUUUUAUCAUUACUCAGCGAUGGGCCCUUGACAGUUUUGAGCCAAUGCUAGAUUUUAUAGCAGACUUGCGUCCUCCUUCUAUAGCCGAGUACAUGGAUGCACAACCUGCCAUGGGACAGUCAUCUUUCAUAAAAUAUGCUCAUCUACAACAGUAACAGACCUCCUUGCUUCAAUGAAUUAUGUACUGGAAAGAGAACUAGUUGAGAAGCUGCGUGCAGCUCCUUAUUAUGCUCUUUUGGCUGACGAGUCCUCUGAUGAAGCUCAUAAGGAGCAGUUUGCUAUCCUGGUACGGUUUCCAUAUGACAAGUCUGUGACUGACCACUUUCUUGGUAUAAUCCAUGUUGAACGCACUGAUGCAGCAUCACUUAUGCAAGCUAUUGAAAUAUUUCUACUGGCCAAAGGAGUGGACAUCAAGAAGGCAUAUUUUGUUGGAUUUGAUGGUUGUAACACCAUGAGUGGUAGAGAAUAAAGGUCUUCAGAGAAGAUUCAGAAACCACCUACCAUAUCAGAUCUACAUAAAUUGUCGUAAUCAUAAACUUGCAUUGUGUGUGAAGUAUUUAAUGCAAAGUUUCCCUGUGUUAGAAGAUGUAGACAGCCUCCUCUUGAGUGUCUGGAAACUCUUCCAUUAUAGUUCUCAGAAGUACGUCAUAUUUAUGGAUGCACAGAAAGCAUACGGAAUGAAAAAUCUUAAAAUAGUACGGGCUGCAGCGACAAGAUGGCUGUCACACGGUCAUGCAUGUAGACGACUUAUUGAACGCUUUGUACAGGUUCUAGAUUCUCUGGACGAAAUGAUCGAUCGAAGACAUGAUCCAGAAAUCGAGGGUAUUCGAAACAUGCUGUGUUCAAAGAGCACUUUCGCUGGCAUAUUAAUAUUGUGUGACCUACUAGAACCAGUCAUCGUCUUCAGCAAUUACCUUCAAGGGGCCAGCAUAGA